rnacentral:rRNA from 1 species
AUUGAACGCUGGCGGCAUGCCUUACACAUGCAAGUCGAACGGUGACGGGCCUUCGGGUGCCGACGAGUGGCGAACGGGUGAGUAAUACAUCGGAACGUGCCCGAUCGUGGGGGAUAACGAGGCGAAAGCUUUGCUAAUACCGCAUACGAUCUACGGAUGAAAGCAGGGGACCGCAAGGCCUUGCGCGGACGGAGCGGCCGAUGGCAGAUUAGGUAGUUGGUGGGAUAAAAGCUUACCAAGCCGACGAUCUGUAGCUGGCCUGAGAGGAUGAUCAGCCACACUGGGACUGAGACACGGCCCAGACUCCUACGGGAGGCAGCAGUGGGGAAUUUUGGACAAUGGGCGCAAGCCUGAUCCAGCCAUGCCGCGUGCAGGAUGAAGGCCUUCGGGUUGUAAACUGCUUUUGUACGGAACGAAAAGCCUUCUUUUAAUACAGGAGGGUCAUGACGGUACCGUAAGAAUAAGCACCGGCUAACUACGUG